UGGGGAAUUUUGGACAAUGGGGGCAACCCUGAUCCAGCAAUGCCGCGUGUGUGAAGAAGGCCUUCGGGUUGUAAAGCACUUUUGGCGAGAACGAAACGACGCCCGCUAAUACCGGGUGUUAAUGACGGUACUCGCAGAAUAAGGACCGGCUAACUACGUGCCAGCAGCCGCGGUAAUACGUAGGGUCCAAGCGUUAAUCGGAAUUACUGGGCGUAAAGCGUGCGCAGGCGGUUUUGUAAGACGGAUGUGAAAUCCCCGGGCUCAACCUGGGAACUGCAUUCGUGACUGCAAGGCUAGAGUGUGUCAGAGGGAGGUGGAAUUCCGCGUGUAGCAGUGAAAUGCGUAGAGAUGCGGAGGAACACCGAUGGCGAAGGCAGCCUCCUGGGAUAACACUGACGCUCAGGCACGAAAGCGUGGGGAGCAAACAG
rnacentral:rRNA from 1 species